rnacentral:rRNA from 1 species
UACGAAGGGGGGCUAGCGUUGUUUCGGAAUUACUGGGCGUAAAGGGCUCUAGGCGGCCCAACUAAGUCAGACGUGAAAUCCCUCGCUUAACCGGGGAACUGCGUCUGAUACUGGAUGGCUUGAAUCCGGGAGAGGGAUGCGGAAUUCCAGGUGUAGCGUGAAAUGCUAGAUAUCUGGAGGAACACCGUGGCGAAAGCGACUUCCUGGACCAGUA